rnacentral:rRNA from 1 species
AGUGAACGCUGGCGGGAGGCCUAACACAUGCAAGUCGAACGGCAGCACAGUAAGAGCUUGCUCUUACGGGUGGCGAGUGGCGGACGGGUGAGGAAUACAUCGGAAUCUACUUUUUCGUGGGGGAUAACGUAGGGAAACUUACGCUAAUACCGCAUACGACCUACGGGUGAAAGCAGGGGAUCUUCGGACCUUGCGCGAUUGAAUGAGCCGAUGUCGGAUUAGCUAGUUGGCGGGGUAAAGGCCCACCAAGGCGACGAUCCGUAGCUGGUCUGAGAGGAUGAUCCGCCACACUGGAACUGAGACACGGUCCAGACUCCUACGGGAGGCAGCAGUGGGGAAUAUUGGACAAUGGGCGCAAGCCUGAUCCAGCCAUACCGCGUGGGUGAAGAAGGCCUUCGGGUUGUAAAGCCCUUUUGUUGGGAAAGAAAAGCAGCAGGUUAAUACCCCGCUGUUCUGACGGUACCCAAAGAAUAAGCACCGGCUAACUUCGUG